rfam:Ntaya virus isolate IPDIA, complete genome
CAAAGUCAGGCCGUAGGUUUUACGCCACUAGCAUGCAGUGCUGCCUGAGACAAGACAUGCCCCAGGAGGACUGGGA